AGUGAACGCUGGCGGUAGGCCUAACACAUGCAAGUCGAACGGCAGCACAGUAAGAGCUUGCUCUUACGGGUGGCGAGUGGCGGACGGUUGAGGAAUACAUCGGAAUCUACUUUUUCGUGGGGGAUAACUUAGGGAAACUUACGCUAAUACCGCAUACGACCUACGGUUGAAAGCUGGGGAUCUUCGGACCUUGCGCGAUUGAAUGAGCCGAUGUCGGAUUAGCUAGUUGGCGGGGUAAAGGCCCACCAAGGCGACGAUCCGUAGCUGGUCUGAGAGGAUGAUCAGCCACACUGGAACUGAGACACGGUCCAGACUCCUACGGGAGGCAGCAGUGGGGAAUAUUGGACAAUGGGCGCAAGCCUGAUCCAGCCAUACCGCGUGGGUGAAGAAGGCCUUCGGGUUGUAAAGCCCUUUUGUUGGGAAAGAAAAGCAGCAGGUUAAUACCCCGCUGUUCUGACGGUACCCAAAGAAUAAGCACCGGCUAACUUCGUG
rnacentral:rRNA from 1 species